rnacentral:rRNA from 1 species
CCUACGGGAGGCAGCAGUGAGGAAUAUUGGUCAAUGGCCGCAGGGCUGAACCAGCCAAGUCGCGUGAGGGAUGACGGUCCUAUGGAUUGUAAACCUCUUUUGUCAGGGAGCAAAGGGCGCCACGUGUGGCGCUUUGCGAGUACCUGAAGAAAAAGCAUCGGCUAACUCCGUGCCAGCAGCCGCGGUAAUACGGAGGAUGCGAGCGUUAUCCGGAUUUAUUGGGUUUAAAGGGUGCGCAGGCGGAAUGUGAAGUCAGCGGUAAAAUUUCGGGGCUCAACCCCGCCGUGCCGUUGAUACUAGCGUUCUUGAGUGAGCGAGAGGUAUGCGGAAUGCGAGGUGUAGCGGUGAAAUGCAUAGAUAUCACGAAGAACACCGAUUGCGAAGGCAGCAUACCGGCGCUCAACUGACGCUCAUGCACGAAAGCGUGGGUAUCGAACAGGAUUAGAUACCCCUGUAGUC